UGGGGAAUCUUCCGCAAUGGACGAAAGUCUGACGGAGCAACGCCGCGUGAGUGAUGACGGCCUUCGGGUUGUAAAGCUCUGUUAAUCGGGACGAAUGGUUCUUGUGCGAAUAGUGCGAGGAUUUGACGGUACCGGAAUAGAAAGCCACGGCUAACUACGUGCCAGCAGCCGCGGUAAUACGUAGGUGGCAAGCGUUGUCCGGAAUUAUUGGGCGUAAAGCGCGCGCAGGCGGAUUGGUCAGUCUGUCUUAAAAGUUCGGGGCUUAACCCCGUGAUGGGAUGGAAACUGCCGAUCUAGAGUAUCGGAGAGGAAAGUGGAAUUCCUAGUGUAGCGGUGAAAUGCGUAGAUAUUAGGAAGAACACCAGUGGCGAAGGCGACUUUCUGGACGAAAACUGACGCUGAGGCGCGAAAGCCAGGGGAGCGAACGGG
rnacentral:rRNA from 1 species